UAGGGAAUCUUCCGCAAUGGACGCAAGUCUGACGGAGCAACGCCGCGUGAGUGAAGAAGGAUUUCGGUUCGUAAAACUCUGUUGUUAGAGAAGAACAGCGCAUAGAGUAACUGUUAUGCGUGUGACGGUAUCUAACCAGAAAGCCACGGCUAACUACGUGCCAGCAGCCGCGGUAAUACGUAGGUGGCAAGCGUUGUCCGGAUUUAUUGGGCGUAAAGCGAGCGCAGGCGGUCAAUUAAGUCUGAUGUGAAAGCCCCCGGCUCAACCGGGGAGGGUGAUUGGAAACUGGUUGACUUGAGUGCAGAAGAGGAGAGUGGAAUUCCAUGUGUAGCGGUGAAAUGCGUAGAUAUAUGGAGGAACACCAGUGGCGAAGGCGACUCUCUGGUCUGUAACUGACGCUGAGGUUCGAAAGCGUGGGUAGCAAACAGG
rnacentral:rRNA from 1 species